rnacentral:rRNA from 1 species
GACGAACGCUGGCGGCGUGCUUAACACAUGCAAGUCGAGCGGAAAGGCCACUUCGGUGGUACUCGAGCGGCGAACGGGUGAGUAACACGUGAGUAAUCUGCCCCUGGCUUUGGGAUAGCCACCGGAAACGGUGAUUAAUACCGGAUACGACCACUUCUCGCAUGGGAUGGUGGUGGAAAGUUUUUUCGGCCAGGGAUGUGCUCGCGGCCUAUCAGCUUGAUGGUGGGGUAAUGGCUCACCAUGGCUUCGACGGGUAGCCGGCCUGAGAGGGUGACCGGUCACACUGGGACUGAGACACGGCCCAGACUCCUACGGGAGGCAGCAGUGGGGAAUAUUGGACAAUGGGCGGAAGCCUGAUCCAGCAACGCCGCGUGGGGGAUGACGGCCUUCGGGUUGUAAACCUCUUUCAGCAGGGACGAAGCGCAAGUGACGGUACCUGCAGAAGAAGCACCGGCCAACUACGUGCCAGCCGCCGCGGUAA